rnacentral:rRNA from 1 species
ACGGGGCCCGCACAAGCGGUGGAGCAUGUGGUUCAAUUCGAAGCAACGCGAAGAACCUUACCAGGUCUUGACAUCCCCUGACAACCCAAGAGAUUGGGCGUUCCCCUUCGGGGGACAGGGUGACAGGUGGUGCAUGGUUGUCGUCAGCUCGUGUCGUGAGAUGUUGGGUUAAGUCCCGCAACGAGCGCAACCCUCGACCUUAGUUGCCAGCAUUCAGUUGGGCACUCUAAGGUGACUGCCGGCUAAAAGUCGGAGGAAGGUGGGGAUGACGUCAAAUCAUCAUGCCCCUUAUGACCUGGGCUACACACGUGCUACAAUGGGCGGUACAAAGGGUCGCGAACCCGCGAGGGGGAGCCAAUCCCAAAAAGCCGCUCUCAGUUCGGAUUGCAGGCUGCAACUCGCCUGCAUGAAGCCGGAAUCGCUAGUAAUCGCGGAUCAGCAUGCCGCGGUGAAUACGUUCCCGGGCCUU